GGGGAAUAUUGCGCAAUAGGGGAAACCCUGACGCAGCGACGCCGCGUGGGUGAUGAAGGCCUUGGUCGUAAGCCCUGUGGGAGAGGGACGAAACACUGGUGGGAACAAUACCCCAUCGGCCUGACGGUACCUU
rnacentral:rRNA from 1 species